rnacentral:rRNA from 1 species
AUUGAACGCUGGCGGCAUGCCUUACACAUGCAAGUCGAACGGUAACGGGCCUUCGGGUGCCGACGAGUGGCGAACGGGUGCGUAAUACAUCGGAACGUGCCCGAUCGUGGGGGAUAACGAGGCGAAAGCUUUGCUAAUACCGCAUACGAUCUACGGAUGAAAGCAGGGGACCGCAAGGCCUUGCGCGGACGGAGCGGCCGAUGGCAGAUUAGGUAGUUGGUGGGAUAAAAGCUUACCAAGCCGACGAUCUGUAGCUGGUCUGAGAGGAUGAUCAGCCACACUGGGACUGAGACACGGCCCAGACUCCUACGGGAGGCAGCAGUGGGGAAUUUUGGACAAUGGGCGCAAGCCUGAUCCAGCCAUGCCGCGUGCAGGAUGAAGGCCUUCGGGUUGUAAACUGCUUUUGUACGGAACGAAAAGCCUUCUUUUAAUACAGGAGGGUAAUGACGGUACCGUAAGAAUAAGCACCGGCUAACUACGUG